CAGCCGCCGCGGUAAUACGUAGGGUGCGAGCGUUAAUCGGAUUUACUGGGCGUAAAGCGUGCGCAGGCGGCCCGUUAAGACAGGUGUGAAAUCCCUGGGCUCAACCUAGGAAUUGCGCUUGUGACUGGCGGGCUCGAGUACGGUAGAGGGGGGUGGAAUUCCUGGUGUAGCAGUGAAAUGCGUAGAGAUCAGGAGGAACACCGAUGGCGAAGGCAGCCCCCUGGGCCUGUACUGACGCUCAUGCACGAAAGCGUGGGGAGCAAAAAGGAUUAGAUACUCUGGUAGUCCACGCCCUAAACGAUGGGUACUAGCCGUUUGGUGCGCGAUAGCGCUGAGUGGCGAAGCUAACGCGUGAAGUACCCCGCCUGGGGAGUACGGCCGCAAGGUUGAAACUUAAAGGAAUUGGCGGG
rnacentral:rRNA from 1 species